AAUGAACGCUGGCGGCGUGCCUAACACAUGCAAGUCGGAUGUGCCGCAAGGUGCAUGGCAGACGGGUGAGUAACGCGUAGGGAAUCUACCUUUUAGUGGGGAAUAACGCUCCGAAAGGAGUGGUAAUACCGCAUGAGACCGCAGGCUGGGAUGUUUGUGGUGAAACCUGGGGACCGAAAGGCCUGGGGCUAAGAGAGGAUCCUGCGUCUGAUUAGCUAGUUGGCGGGGUAAUGGCCCACCAAGGCGACGAUCAGUAGCCGGCCUGAGAGGGUGAUCGGCCACACUGGAACUGAGACACGGUCCAGACUCCUACGGGAGGCAGCAGUGGGGAAUUUUGCGCAAUGGACGAAAGUCUGACGCAGCAACGCCGCGUGGGUGAUGAAGGUCUUCGGACUGUAAAACCCUGUCGUCAGGGACGAAGGUUGAGGGGUUAAUAACCCUUUAGCUUGACGGUACCUGGAGAGGAAGCCCCGGCUAACUCUGUGCCAGCAGCCGCGGUAAUACAGAGGGGGCAAGCGUUAUUCGGAAUUAUUGGGCGUAAAGGGCGCGUAGGCGGUUUUUUAAGUCAGAUGUGUAAUCCCCGAGCUUAACUUGGGAACUGCAUCUGAGACUGGAAGGCUAGAGUACUGGAGAGGGUGGUGGAAUUCCUCGUGUAGCGGUGAAAUGCGUAGAGAUGAGGAGGAACACCAGUGGCGAAGGCGGCCACCUGGACAGUAACUGACGCUGAGGCGCGAAAGUGUGGGUAGCAAACAGGAUUAGAUACCCUGGUAGUCCACGCUGUAAACGAUGAACACUUGGUGUGGAGGGAGUUGACCCCUUCCGUGCCGGAGCUAACGCGUUAAGUGUUCCGCCUGGGGAGUACGGUCGCAAGGCUG
rnacentral:rRNA from 1 species